UCCGGUUUGUCACCGGCAGUCUCGCAUGAGUCCCCAACUAAAUGCUGGCAACAUGCGACGGGGGUUGCGCUCGUUGCGGGACUUAACCCAACAUCUCACGACACGAGCUGACGACAACCAUGCACCACCUGUACACCGACCUUGCGGGGCAACCAUUUCUGGAAGUUUCCGGUGUAUGUCAAGCCUUGGUAAGGUUCUUCGCGUUGCAUCGAAUUAAUCAGCAUGCUCCGCCGCUUGUGCGGGCCCCCGUCAAUUCCUUUGAGUUUUAGCCUUGCGGCCGUACUCCCCAGGCGGGGCGCUUGAUGCGUUAGCUGCGGCACAGAGAACGUGGAAGUCCCCCACACCUAGCGCCCACCGUUUACGGCGUGGACUAC
rnacentral:misc_RNA from 1 species